AACGCACAUUGCGCCCUUUGGUAUUCCGAAGGGCAUGCCUGUUCGAGCGUCAUUAUCACCCCUCAAGCCCCCGGCUUGGUGUUGGACGGUCGGUGAAGGAGACUUUACCCCUCCCAAAGACAAUGACGGCGGUCUCGUUGAACCUCCGGUACACUGAGUUCUUUCCACGGAACACGUAUCGGUCAAGGGUCAAUGGGCACGGUCUGCCUCCCCUCUAGGGAGAACUUUUUCAAGGUUGACCUCGGAUCAGGUAGGAAUACCCGCUGAACUUAA
rnacentral:misc_RNA from 1 species